GACGAACGCUGGCGGCGUGCUUAACACAUGCAAGUCGAACGGAAAGGCCCUGCUUUUGUGGGGUGCUCGAGUGGCGAACGGGUGAGUAACACGUGAGUAACCUGCCCUUGACUUUGGGAUAACUUCAGGAAACUGGGGCUAAUACCGGAUAGGAGCUCCUGCUGCAUGGUGGGGGUUGGAAAGUUUCGGCGGUUGGGGAUGGACUCGCGGCUUAUCAGCUUGUUGGUGGGGUAGUGGCUUACCAAGGCUUUGACGGGUAGCCGGCCUGAGAGGGUGACCGGCCACAUUGGGACUGAGAUACGGCCCAGACUCAUACGGGAGGCAGCAGUGGGGAAUAUUGCACAAUGGGCGGAAGCCUGAUGCAGCAACGCCGCGUGCGGGAUGACGGCCUUCGGGUUGUAAACCGCUUUCGCCUGUGACGAAGCGUGAGUGACGGUAGUGGGUAAAGAAGCACCGGCUAACUACGUG
rnacentral:rRNA from 1 species